UACGUAGGGGGCAAGCGUUGUCCGGAAUCAUUGGGCGUAAAGAGCGUGUAGGCGGCUCGAUAAGUCUGCUGUGAAAGUCCAGGGCUCAACCCUGGAAGGCCGGUGGAAACUGUCGGGCUAGAGUCCGGAAGAGGCGAGUGGAAUUCCCGGUGUAGCGGUGAAAUGCGCAGAUAUCAGGAGGAACACCGGUGGCGAAGGCGGCUUGCUGGGCCUUACCUGACGCUGAGGAGCGAAAGCGUGGGGAGCGAACAGG
rnacentral:rRNA from 1 species